UGUGGAGAAAAUCUAGAAUAUGCUCUUAAAACCACCUUUACCAAACGAGGACAUUCUACCAGAGAAGUAGACCGCAUCAUGGAAUAGGACAUCCAAAUACCCUGAGAGAACCUGCUUCAAUAC